rnacentral:rRNA from 1 species
UGGGGAAUCUUGCACAAUGGGCGAAAGCCUGAUGCAGCGACGCCGCGUGAGGGAUGAAGGCCUUCGGGUCGUAAACCUCUUUCGGCAGGGACGAAGCGAUCUCGUGACGGUACCUGCAGAAGAAGCCUCGGCUAACUACGUGCCAGCAGCCGCGGUAAGACGUAGGAGGCGAGCGUUGUCCGGAUUCAUUGGGCGUAAAGAGCGCGCAGGCGGCUUGGUAAGUCGGAUGUGAAAUCCCGAGGCUCAACCUCGGGUCUGCAUCCGAUACUGCCCGGCUAGAGGUAGGUAGGGGAGAUCGGAAUUCCUGGUGUAGCGGUGAAAUGCGCAGAUAUCAGGAGGAACACCGGUGGCGAAGGCGGAUCUCUGGGCCUUACCUGACGCUCAGGCGCGAAAGCUAGGGGAGCGAACUG